UACGUAGGGUGCGAGCGUUAAUCGGAAUUACUGGGCGUAAAGCGUGCGCAGGCGGUUUUGUAAGCCAGAUGUGAAAUCCCCGGGCUUAACCUGGGAAUGGCAUUUGGGACUGCAAGGCUCGAGUGCGGCAGAGGAGACUGGAAUUCCUGGUGUAGCAGUGAAAUGCGUAGAUAUCGAGAGGAACACCAGAGGUGAAGACGGGUUGCUGGGCCGACACUGACGCUGACAGCGCGAAAGCCAGGGGAGCAAACGGG
rnacentral:rRNA from 1 species